CCCCAUGUACCCAGUGGGGGAUGGGAGUGGGGUGAGACCUACACCCUUGACCUUGGACUCCUGUGAAGCUGUUUAUGGCCUGACACCAACCCUGGAGAGAUGGGUCUUAACCUGAUUUAGCUCCCUUAUCAGUAUUGAUUGGCCACUGUUAGGCGCUGCUCAUUUGGGCCAGCCUGACUGCCUGAGCACAGAUCAACAUCCCCAGCGCAGCAUGGCAGGGCAAAGGCAGUGCCCUCCUUCCCACCCCCCAGAAUUCACCCAGGCCCCCACUGCACACUUCUCUGGGCCUGCCCAGUUCAGUCAUUCACUGUUCUAGGAUCGGAGGGGACAGGCACACGUGAUGGAGACAGAGCAACCUGCCUACUCCCAUGCAGCCCGGAAGGGGAGACUGACAGGGUAAGGAAGCCAACAGAAAUAGACUCAAGACGAAUCUCAGAUGUGUUGUGUGCAGGAAAGGAAGAAAAUGAGGAAGCAGAAUCCUCUUGCCCCUGGAGCCUAUGGGGCCAUCACAGGGCCAGGAGGUAACCUGAUCUCCAUCACCCAAGUAUCAUGCACGGAGCUGGGGCAAAACUCUGUCAAAGAUCACAAACAAAUUACUCAGUCAAAUGUAUCCGAGCCACCUCUGGUUCCUCACUUUUGUGUACAAGACAAUUGAACUUCUGAUAUUUGGUUCUGGCCCACUCAGCACUUCAGAGCCUUCAGCCGACCAUAACCCUGCCUCCCAGAGCUUAGAUCAAGCCAAAUAAGGAGCUCUACUCCUUUCCCAUAUAUCUGACCUAGCCCAUCACUGAAUUCCAUUUCUGCUAAAUACCGUGAUAGCACAGUGGGUCAGCACCCAAGUUCUGGAGCUACACUACCUGGGUUCAAAUUCUGGUUCUUAAUACUAAUAGGACCUCUAGCAAGUUAUUCGACCUGUGCCUUGGCUUAGUUUUCCCACGUGCAAAAUGGGGUUAAUAAAAACACCCAACAAAUAAAGUUGCAAGGACUCAGUGAAUUAGUACGCAGAAGGGCUCAUCAUAUUGUAAGUUGGCUAUUGGUGCUAUUUCUGGUUUGAUCUAAACACUCUCCACACCCAGAAAGAACACAUCCCAGGGCUUGCAGCAGCUCACACUGCAGACCACACUAAACAGCCCUCCCAACCCCUCUUCUCACCUAUCACCUCUCAGAGAACCAGCUAGAGACUGGCCUGGAAGCCGUUCAACAUAGACAAGGAUGCUCUUUGAAGCUGGCUGGGUAUGGCCUUAAAUAACUCACAAGCCAGCUACCUCCUCUGUUUUCCCUCAUGCCGCACAAAUGGCUUCACUAACUUCAGGCCUCACUUUGAACCCUCACAUCAUUUCCUGACAUUGCUGGUGCCUGGCCUGGAGGCAGCACCUUACACAGUAAGGAAAAGCAGCUGCUCAUUACCUCGCCUCCCCACCUCCAUUAGGAUAAAAAUCACCUCCCAAGAUGGGACUCUACAGCCAGAGGGUGAAUUGGUGACCUCAUUGCUCGGCUCACUAGGUUCCAGGCAUCCCUAAAUGCCAGUGAUCUUUCCUUUCCCUCUGAUGUGUCGAUGCCAGCCUUUCAGUGGCCAGGAUCCCUCCCCUGGCCCCCAGCCUGGUUGUAGAACCACCCUGGCGUGUCAAAGGACUCUGGAUUCCAAAUGGCAUGUUUAGAAGUGUGUUUACUGCCUGUGUUCGUGGUUUUCUACCAUCAGGACACCGACUGUUGAAAGCAAAGUUCAAGCCAGGUUGGUGCAAGUUGCAGAAGCAGAAAAAGGAUUCUACG
rnacentral:lncRNA from 10 species